UUAUUGGAGAGUUUGAUCCUGGCUCAGGACGAACGCUGGCGGCGUGCCUAAUACAUGCAAGUCGAGCGAGGGUCUUCGGACCCUAGCGGCGGACGGGUGAGUAACACGUAGGCAACCUGCCCAUAAGACUGGGA
rnacentral:rRNA from 1 species